ACCCUAAAUUCAUUUCAUCCACAGCCGCUCCUCCUUCUUUCUCUCUCUGGUGAUUUUCAAUUUAGGGUUUCACGAGAUCUGUGGUAUGAGAUCUCACCAGAUCCAACAAUGGUGUGGUCUGUAAAAGUGGUCGAAUACGCUUCAAGAUCAGUCGAUUCGACCAGAGGUUGAACUGGAUAAUGUUGACCCAUUUUCUUCUCUUCCGGAUCGAAUAUGACCUUUUUUUCUCAAAACCCUACUCAUUCAUUCAGAUUCCCAUCUCCCUGCUUUCUCUCUCAAAUGAGAUCUAGGGUUUCUACAUGUGAUUCAAGAUUUUGCUUUCACUGCUUUCUCUCUCAAACGAGAUCUAGGGUUUCUACAUGCGAUACCAGAUCUGGCUUUCACAGUUCGGUUCGACACUUCCAUGGAACCAAAAACUCCAAGCCGAGAGCGUUGCAGAUCUACAAGUUGGAGGCGGUUUUUGGUAGUUGGUACUAAAGAUGUUCGGGUGGUUAAACACUUCUCAAUCACCCGGUUGGAAACACAAGAAUCAUCAAGGAAGGGUUACAAAUUAGGGUCUGGAUGUUAUUCAGACUUAUGUUUUCUGGAAUGGGCAUGAACCACAACCUGGUAAAUAUUAUUUUGAAGACAGGUAUGAUCUGGUUAAGUUCAUUAACCUAAUUAAGGAAGCUGGACUAUGUGUUCAUCUCAGAAUAGGCCCAUAUGCUUGUGCUGAAUGGAACUUUGGGGUAUUUAUUGUGUGGUUGAAAUAUAUGCCAGGAAUAAGUUUUAGAACAGAAUGCUCCUUUCAAGGCUGCAAUGGAAAAUUUUACAAGGCACAUAGUGAAUAUGAUGAAAUCAGAACGCUUGUAUGAGAAUUAGGGCGGUCCGAUUAUUUUAUCUCAGAUCAACACUGGCAAUGGUUUUUACUGUGACUACUUCCCUCCUAACAGUGAUUCCAAACCGAAAAUGUGGCCCGAAGCGUGGUCUGGAUGGUAACGUGAUAUUUUACGCAGACCGGUCUCCGUCUUCAAAAGGUUACUCACAGUCUUGCUCAGGUUGGGCCUUGUUGCAACAAUAAAGGAGCGUGCUAAUGAGAUAUUUAAGAAGGUCAAAGACCAGAAGUCAAGUAGGGGAAGAAACCAAGACGCCAUAUAGGCGGCCUGUCUUUACACCGCUUGCCGUCAAGAAGACAAGCCACGCACUGUAAAGGGUAUAAACAAUCCACAUUAGUUUAAUCGGAUGCUUACUGGUCUCUGUUUAUAUGAACUGGAUUUUCAUUGUCUUGAACCAGUGUUCAAAUAGAAAUCUGUUCGGUUGCCAACAGAGCAACCAAGAAAGAAAUUGGACGUGCAAAAGAAUACAUUGCUAAUUAAACUGAACUUUUAGGUGCAUUCUGUUUAUACCAUUAUAUUGUCUUUUUUUUGUUUGGGUAGUGUUUGCCUUAAAUUAAGGGAGCUUAAGACCUUGGAUGUCACACUUGGUGUAAGCUUCGGUUGGCCCCUAUAGCUACUCUUAAGGGAUCAUUGUUCUAUAACUGCAUAUCAUCUUGUUUUUAUUUGCAGUAAGUUAUGUAGGUUAAGUUACAGGAUCAUACUAAAAAGUAAGAAAAUAACGCCUAAGAGGGAGUUAUUUUUUAUUUAUUGAUUUAUUAAAAAAAAUAGAUCAUUUCAAUCAUGAUGAUACAUGUAGCCAUGACCACUCGAGUUAGGUACUGAAGACAUUAAUAGGUGAUGAAGUGAUAUCUUGUGCGGGGAUUCAACGAGAAUUUGGGGCUGUGAGUAGGCCUGGAUUGAGAUUGGGGAGGGAAAACGAAACGAAAAACCCUAAUCGAUUGCUGAUUGUUUCUCCCCACGGUAACUCUGCGUCGUUGCUGAUGGUUCUUGCUUUUCCGUCUAUGCCACCUCACUCCUGUCUAAAGAUACACAGGCACUUAGACUCCUUGAUGAUCAAAGGGACAGCUGUAGAUGAACUCAUGAACGUGGUCUAUAUGCUCUUUGAUGGAUUGGAACCUGGAACAUCAACUGUUUCAGUUGUCACAAGAAGAAUAUUAUGACCAUUGGAGCUCAAGACAGCCUGCUGCAGCUGCGAGCCAAACUUAUCGAAGCAAGGCAUACUAAGAAUCAGAGGACGAGAAGAAAGGAGAAAGAGGCGCAGGCGCAGGAGAGAGUAUACCUUCUUUGGUCUUUGCCUAUUCCGUUAACUAUUGCUUUUGUUAGAACUGAAAUAUACAUUAUGCUCUUCAAGAACACUAAUUAGGGGUCAUGUGUAAUUAUAGGAUCAACCAACAUGACAAGACUGGGUCCUUUGAAAUCAAUUUGAAACUAAGUUUUUUUUUCUCUUUUGUAUAAUUAUACUGUAUAGCCUUGUACAUAUAUGAAAUCUUAUAAAGUUGACUUUGUGAAGA